AGGCAGUGGCUCUCCAUACAUGAUGGAUACUCAAUACUCAAGCAGUAAAGGAGAAACCUCUGAAACAAAGGUAAAGAGGGCACCAUCUCCAGCACCCAGACUUUUAAUGAAAAGUGACAGAUCCAUGCACGAAUGUUCUACAGUCAGCAUCGACUCUGUGCCCUCAAAAGAGGUAAAGAGGGCACCAUCUCCAGCACCCAGACUUUUGAUGAAAAGUGAC